rnacentral:rRNA from 1 species
CCUACGGGCGACAGCAGUGAGGAAUAUUGGUCAAUGGCCGGAAGGCUGAACCAGCCAAGCCGCGUGAGGGAGGAAGGCGCAGAGCGUCGCAGACCUCUUUUGCCGGGGGACAAAAGGCCGGACUCGUCCGGUCCUGAGGGUACCCGGAGAAAAAGCAUCGGCUAACUCCGUGCCAGCAGCCGCGGUAAUACGGAGGAUCCGAGCGUUAUCCGGAUUUAUUGGGUUUAAAGGGUGCGUAGGCGGUUUGAUAAGUUAGAGGUGAAAUGUCGGGGCUCAACCCCGAAACUGCCUCUAAUACUGUUGGACUAGAGAAUAGUUGCGGUAGGCGGAAUGUAUGGUGUAGCGGUGAAAUGCUUAGAGAUCAUACAGAACACCGAUUGCGAAGGCAGCUUACCAAACUAUAUCUGACGUUGAGGCACGAAAGCGUGGGUAGCAAACAGGAUUAGAUACCCGUGUAGUC